rnacentral:rRNA from 1 species
UACAGAGGUCUCAAGCGUUGUUCGGAAUCACUGGGCGUAAAGGGUGCGUAGGUGGCGUGGCAAGUCAGAUGUGAAAGCCCAGGGCUCAACCCUGGAAUUGCAUCCGAUACUGCCAUGCUAGAGUACUGAAGAGGUGACUAGAAUUCUCGGUGUAGCAGUGAAAUGCGUAGAUAUCGAGAGGAAUACCAAAGGCGAAGGCAGGUCUCUGGGCCGAUACUGACGCUGAGGAGCGAAAGCGUGGGGAGCGAACAGG